GAUGAACGCUAGCUACAGGCUUAACACAUGCAAGUCGAGGGGUAACGAGAGGAAAGCUUGCUUUCCUUGUCGACGACCGGCGCACGGGUGAGUAACGCGUAUCCAACCUGCCCCCAACUAGGGAAUAACCUUGCGAAAGUAAGACUAAUACCCUAUAAUUUCCUCAGAUGUCAUCUGACGAGGAAUAAAGAUUUAUCGGUUGUGGAUGGAGAUGCGUCUGAUUAGCUUGUUGGCGGGGUAACGGCCCACCAAGGCAACGAUCAGUAGGGGUUCUGAGAGGAAGGUGCCCCACAUUGGAACUGAGACACGGUCCAGACUCCUACGGGAGGCAGCAGUGAGGAAUAUUGGUCAAUGGGCGGAAGCCUGAACCAGCCAAGUAGCGUGCAGGAUGACGGCCCUAUGGGUUGUAAACUGCUUUUAUACAGGAAUAAAGUUAGCCACGUGUGGUUAUUUGUAGGUACUGUAUGAAUAAGGACCGGCUAAUUCCGUGCCAGCCGCCGCAGUAA
rnacentral:rRNA from 1 species